CAUCAUUUGUAUUGUCUUCAUUGGUGUGGAUGUUGGGAUACGAGGUAGGCAACACUAGCGCAAAACAAAAUUUUCUACCGCGUAAACUAGGAAAACUGCCGUAUAAGGAUCACGGGAUUACCACUCAACGCACUACUGGUGCAGAAGAUGUAGAUUCGCGUCGAUGCAGCGAAGUGGAUCAGCGUAGUCGUACGUAGUCGAUCACGUCGACGUCCAGCAGCUCCUCAGUAGCUC
rnacentral:lncRNA from 1 species